rnacentral:lncRNA from 1 species
CUUGAACGUGGAUAUCUUAUUUCAAGGUCAUGUCAGAUUAAGAAUUUGAUGUAUUGCAUCUAAUAUCCUUCUUUUGUAUUAUAAAUAAUUUAAAAAUUCUCUGAUAUAUAUUUAAAAGGUGUUGCUGCCAAUUCUCGAGUUGGCUUUGAGACCGGUGGGUCUAAUAGGCAUCGAGUUGAGGUUGAGGUCAACUUAGAUUGGAGGGAG